ensembl:lncRNA
GUAAAGUAGAAAGGAAGGAAGGAAGACAAAUAACUUUUUGAUACACAAGUUUGGAACAGAGGACUGACUUUUAGCUAAUCUGAAAGAUAAUCCAAGUUUUGUUGUAGAUCUGAAUGUGGCAAGGUUAUCACUCCAUAUCUCAUUUCUCAAGUUUCAUUCUCUUUUUAUUUGGCUAUUUCAAAAAGAAUUCUGUGGUCAGAACAUUCAGUCAGUGGUGUUUUUAAUAAUAUUGUAUUAAAAGAGAGCCUUGUUUUUGUUUUGUCUUUUUUUCUAUUUAUGGAACUGAGGGAGGAGUAUGUAUAAUAAGAAUGAAAUUGUCACUACAGAUUUAUCCUUUUCAAGCACAAUGAAUUAAAUAAGUUUCUUCAAGUUUCUCAUGUAAUCAAAGACAGGUUUUUUUUUAGUUUUGUUUUCUUAUAAAAAAUAAAUGAAAAAAAAAUUACAAUGCUGAACUUGGAUAACAAUGAAUCUUCAUCUUUAAAACUUUUAUUCCUUGUAUGGAGCCUACAAACAAGAACGUCUAUAAACAUAACUGCCAGGAUAAAGCUAAAGUAUAUCCAACCAGAAGGAGCAUCAAUGGGAUCUUCUAUACAUGCACUGACAGAGGAAAAUAUUCACAGCUGUUAUGUGAAUUCAUCAGUGCCAGAAAACACACUGCUGAAUAUAUUCUUAUUAUCUGCACAUGAGCAACAGAGACAACAGCUGAGAGGCAUUUAACAGCUACCUUGUAAAGUUCACAGAGCUGCACCUGUGUGCUCUGAAGUUCUUCGCGUGGUCUCCACCAGGUAAAUACUUGUAAGUUUGAAUUCUAAGAUAGUAUCCUUGAACUGUGUUUACUUUCACUGAAAUAAAUGUAAAUAGUGAUACUUUUAGCAUGUGAAUUGGUGUCUGCCAAACUGGGUCCAUAACUUCAUAAGACUUUAAAACAGCAUAAAAAAACUGACCAGUUUUAAAACUAACAUAUUAAAAGAAGGAAAGAAGAUGAGGUGUUAAUAUUUAAUUAACAUUGGAUAAAUCCAUUGGAUAGUCACAGUUAGAUGUUCAGCUCUGCAUUUUCCCUGCAUUGGGUGUGACUUAGCAGCAGCACUGUUUUUUGGUCACCAAAAAGUAUAUUUCGACCCAACACUGAUAUUGAAUUACAAACUAAAAAUCUAUUUAAAC